rnacentral:rRNA from 1 species
CCGGACCGGCGCACGGGUGAGUAACACGUAUGCAAUCCACCUGUAACAGGGGGAGUAACCCGGAGAAAUCCGGACUAAUACCCCAUAAUAUGGGCUCUCCGCAUGGAGGGUCCAUUAAAGAGAGCAAUUUUGGUUACAGACGAGCAUGCGCUCCAUUAGCCAGUUGGCGGGGUAACGGCCCACCAAAGCGACGAUGGAUAGGGGUUCUGAGAGGAAGGUCCCCCACAUUGGAACUGAGACACGGUCCAA